rnacentral:rRNA from 1 species
UUGUCCGGAAUUACUGGGUGUAAAGGGAGCGUAGGCGGGAAACCAAGUCAGCUGUGAAAACUACAGGCUUAACCUGUAGACUGCAGUUGAAACUGGCUUUCUUGAGUGAAGUAGAGGUUGGCGGAAUUCCGAGUGUAGCGGUGAAAUGCGUAGAUAUUCGGAGGAACACCGGUGGCGAAGGCGGCCAACUGGGCUUUAACUGACGCUGAGGCUCGAAAGUGUGGGGAGCAAACAGGAUUAGAUACCCUGGUAGUCCACACUGUAAACGAUGAUUGCUAGGUGUGGGGGGUCUGACCCCUUCCGUGCCGCAGCUAACGCAAUAAGCAAUCCACCUGGGGAGUACGACCGCAAGGUUGAAACUCAAAGGAAUUGACGGGGACCCGCACAAGCAGUGGAUUAUGUGGUUUAA